ensembl:lncRNA
GUGGAGGCUAUAUACAGGGGGUACCGGUACAGAGUCAAUGUGGAGGCUAUAUACAGGGUGUUAUGGUACAGAGUCAAUGUGGAGACUAUAUACAGGGUGUUACGGUACAGAGUCAAUGUGGAGGCUAUAUACAGGGUAUUACGGUACAGAGUCAAUGUGGAGGCUAUAUACAGGGUAUUACGGAACAGAGUCAAUGUGGAGGCUAUAUACAGGGUAUUACGGAACAGAGUCAAUGUGGAGGCUAUAUACAGGGUAUUACGGUACAGAGUCAAUGUGGAGGCUAUAUACAGGGGGUACCGGUACAGAGUCAAUGUGGAGACUAUAUACAGGGUGUUACGGUACAGAGUCAAUGUGGAGGCUAUAUACAGGGUGUUACUGUACAGAGUCAAUGUGGAGGCUAUAUACAGGGUGUUACGGUACAGAGUCAAUGUGGAGGCUAUAUACAGGGUGUUACGGUACAGAGUCAAUGUGGAGGCUAUAUACAGGGUGUUACGGUACAGAGUCAAUGUGGAGAAUAUAUACAGGGGGUACCGGUACAGAGUCAAUGAGGAGGCUAUAUACAGGGUGUUACGGUACAGAGUCAAUGUGGAGGCUAUAUACAGGGUGUUAAGGUACAGAGUCAAUGUGGAGGCUAUAUACAGGAAAAGGUUGUUGUCCUUGCACCACACAGUCAG